GACGAACGCUGGCGGCGUGCCUAAUACAUGCAAGUCGAACGCAGUGGGUACGGGUGAGUAACACGUGGGUCACCUCCCCUCAGAGGGGAUAACACUUGGAAACAGGUGCUAAACCGAUACUGAUGGAUGGACCCGCGGUGCAUUAGCUAGUUGGUGAGGUAACGGCUCACCAAGGCCACGAUGCAUAGCCGACAGGAGAGGGUGAUCGGCCACACGGGGACGGCGAAACGGCCCAGACUCCUACGGGAGGCAGCAGGAGGGAAUCGGCGGCAAUGGACGAAAGUCUGACCGAGCAACGCGGCGUGAGGGAAGAAGGGUUGCGGAUCGUAAAACUCUGGUGUUAGAGAAGCGGUAGCUAACCAGAAAGCCACGGCUAACUACGUGCCAGCAGCCGCGGUAAUAC
rnacentral:rRNA from 1 species